AUUCCAUGAUGUGGGCAUUUCCUUUGUAAUUCUUUAAAAAGUUCCCAUGCAUCAUAUAAAGAUUCCCCUUCCAAUUGAUGGAAGUUAUUAAUUUCUCCCCUAUAUC